UAAUACCCGGUAUAGUCUGUUAUACACCUGUAUAAAAGAAGAGAGCUACGGCGGCCAAAGAUGGGCAUGCGUGCCAUUAGUUAGUUGGUAGGGUAACGGCCUACCAAGGCAUCGAUGGCUACGUGGGUCUAAAAGGAUGAGCGCGCACACUGGUACUGAGACACGGACCAGACUCCUACGGGAGGCAGCAGUGAGGAAUAUUGGUCAAUGGGUGGAAGCCUGAACCAGCCAUGCCGCGUGCAGGAAGACGGCCCUAUGGGUUGUAAACUGCUUUUCUACGGGACGAACGGCUCUGACGUGUCAGAGAUUGACGGUACCGUAAGAAUAAAGCAUCGGCUAACUCCGUGCCAGCAGCCGCGGUAAUACGGAGGAUGCGAGCGUUAUCCGGAUUUAUUAGGUUUAAAGGGUGCGUAGGCUGGGCAAUAAGUCAGUGGUGAAAGUCCGCGGCUCAAACCGUGGGAUUGCCAUUGAAACUGUUGUUCUUGAGUACAGUCGAGGUAGGCGGAAUGUGUAAUGUAGCGGUGAAAUGCAUAGAUAUUACCCAGAAAACCGAUUGCGUAGGCAGCUUACCAGCCUGGAACUGACGCUGAUGCAC
rnacentral:rRNA from 1 species